AAAUUGAAGAGUUUGAUCAUGGCUCAGAUUGAACGCUGGCGGCAGGCCUAACACAUGCAAGUCGAACGGUAACAGGAAGCAGCUUGCUGCUUCGCUGACGAGUGGCGGACGGGUGAGUAAUGUCUGGGAAACUGCCUGAUGGAGGGGGAUAACUACUGGAAACGGUAGCUAAUACCGCAUAACGUCGCAAGACCAAAGAGGGGGACCUUCGGGCCUCUUGCCAUCGGAUGUGCCCAGAUGGGAUUAGCUUGUUGGUGGGGUAACGGCUCACCAAGGCGACGAUCCCUAGCUGGUCUGAGAGGAUGACCAGCCACACUGGAACUGAGACACGGUCCAGACUCCUACGGGAGGCAGCAGUGGGGAAUAUUGCACAAUGGGCGCAAGCCUGAUGCAGCCAUGCCGCGUGUAUGAAGAAGGCCUUCGGGUUGUAAAGUACUUUCAGCGGGGAGGAAGGGAGUAAAGUUAA
rnacentral:rRNA from 1 species